rnacentral:rRNA from 1 species
UAACCGAAUAGGGGAGCCGUAGGGAAACCGAGUCUUAACCGGGCGUUAAGUUGCAGGGUAUAGACCCGAAACCCGGUGAUCUAGCCAUGGGCAGGUUGAAGGUUGGGUAACACUAACUGGAGGACCGAACCGACUAAUGUUGAAAAAUUAGCGGAUGACCUGUGGCUGGGGGUGAAAGGCCAAUCAAACCGGGAGAUAGCUGGUUCUCCCCGAAAGCUAUUUAGGUAGCGCCUCGUGAAUUCAUCUCCGGGGGUAGAGCACUGUUUCGGCUAGGGGGCCAUCCCGGCUUACCAACCCGAUGCAAACUGCGAAUACCGGAGAAUGUUAUCACGGGAGACACACGGCGGGUGCUAACGUCCGUCGUGAAGAGGGAAACAACCCAGACCGCCAGCUAAGGUCCCAAAGUCAUGGUUAAGUGGGAAACGAUGUGGGAAGGCCCAGACAGCCAGGAUGUUGGCUUAGAAGCAGCCAUCAUUUAAAGAAAGCGUAAUAGCUCACUGGUCGAGUCGGCCUGCGCGGAAGAUGUAACGGGGCUAAACCAUGCACCGAAGCUGCGGCAGCGAACGUAUCACCCAAGACAA